AGGAGGUGGAGGGCGACCGACGGCCUUAGGCUGAGGAAAGUCCCCUCUCCAUGAGCAAGGCAGCCGUAAGGAAUCCGAGAGGAUUGGCAAUGCAACAGAAACGACACAGCCUCACAAUGGGAAUGAUCGUCUAGGACGUGACGUCUGUGAAGGAUUUGGUGAAACGAGCAC
rnacentral:RNase_P_RNA from 1 species